rnacentral:misc_RNA from 1 species
UCGUAACAAGGUUUCCGUAGGUGAACCUGCGGAAGGAUCAUUACUGAAAUGUAAUAACUUCUAUUGAAAGGUUCCAGAGUAGGCGCUACAACGCCGAAAUGACCUUCUCACCCUUGUGUACUCACUAUGUUGCUUUGGCGGGUCGACCUGGUUCCGACCCAGGCGGCCGGCGCCCCCAGCCUUAACUGGCCAGGACGCCCGGCUAAGUGCCCGCCAGUAUACAAAACUCAAGAAUUCAUUUUGUGAAGUCCUGAUAUAUCAUUUAAUUGAUUAAAACUUUCAACAACGGAUCUCUUGGUUCUGGCAUCGAUGAAGAACGCAGCGAAAUGCGAUAAGUAAUGUGAAUUGCAGAAUUCAGUGAAUCAUCGAAUCUUUGAACGCACAUUGCGCCCUCUGGUAUUCCGGAGGGCAUGCCUGUUCGAGCGUCAUUUCAACCCUCAAGCUCUGCUUGGUAUUGGGCAACGUCCGCUGCCGGACGUGCCUUGAAGACCUCGGCGACGGCGUCCUAGCCUCGAGCGUAGUAGUAAAAUAUCUCGCUUUGGAGUGCUGGGCGACGGCCGCCGGACAAUCGACCUUCGGUCUAUUUUUCCAAGGUUGACCUCGGAUCAGGUAGGGAUACCCGCUGAACUUAAGCAUAUCAU